rnacentral:rRNA from 1 species
UACGUAGGGUCCGAGCGUUGUCCGGAGUUACUGGGCGUAAAGGGCGCGUAGGCGGCCUGAUAAGUAGGGGGUGAAAUCUUGCGGCUCAACCGCAAGGCUGCCUUCUAAACUGUCAGGCUGGAGCACGGUAGAGGCAGAUGAAUUCCCGGUGUAGCGGUGGAAUGCGUAGAGAUCGGGAAGAACACCAGUGGCGAAGGCGGUCUGCUGGGCCGUUGCUGACGCUGAGGCGCGACAGCGUGGGGAGCAAACAGG